UUGUCCUGGUUUGUGUUUUCCCUGCUCCUUGUGUGCAGUUGUUACAGGACAGGACACACAGCAAUCUACCUCUCUGUUUAGAAGGGCCAUCCUAAGAAUAGGGCUGGCUUUUAAAAGGCAUGAUUGGUCAAC